GACGAACGCUGGCGGCGUGCUUAACACAUGCAAGUCGAACGGAAAGGCCCUGCUUUUGUGGGGUGCUCGAGUGGCGAACGGGUGAGUAACACGUGAGUAACCUGCCCUUGACUUUGGGAUAACUUCAGGAAACUGGGGCUAAUACCGGAUAGGAGCUCCUGCUGCAUGGUGGGGGUUGGAAAGUUUCGGCGGUUGGGGAUGGACUCGCGGCUUAUCAGCUUGUUGGUGGGGUAGUGGCUUACCAAGGCUUUGACGGGUAGCCGGCCUGAGAGGGUGACCGGCCACAUUGGGCCUGAGAUACGGCCCAGACUCCUACGGGAGGCAGCAGUGGGGAAUAUUGCACGAUGGGCGGAAGCCUGAUGCAGCAACGCCGCGUGCGGGAUGACGGCCUUCGGGUUGUAAACCGCUUUCGCCUGUGACGAAGCGUGAGUGACGGUAAUGGGUAAAGAAGCACCGGCUAACUACGUG
rnacentral:rRNA from 1 species